rnacentral:rRNA from 1 species
GACAGAGGGUGCAAACGUUGUUCGGAAUUACUGGGCGUAAAGCGUGUGUAGGCUGCCCCGCAAGUCGGGUGUGAAAGCCCCGGGCUCAACCUGGGAAGUGCACUCGAAACUGCAAAGCUGGAGUCCUGGAGAGGAAGGCGGAAUUCUCGGUGUAGAGGUGAAAUUCGUAGAUAUCGAGGGAACACCGGUGGCGAAGGCGGCCUUCUGGACAGUGACUGACGCUGAGACGCGAAAGCGUGGGGAGCAAACAGG